CACCCCUUCUCUUCCCUUCCCAUGCAGUCUUUCCUGUACAAGGCACUGGGGACAGUACUGGGAGCUUGUAAAGAAGUCCUCCAUGUCCAAGAGAAGCUGCUGCAACACCUGGAGGAAGCAAACGCAGAGGAGCCAUCUGAGGUCCAGGGAAUGAUCUCUCUUCUCAGCCAUGCUGCUGAGAGC